UACGAAGGGGGCUAGCGUUGUUCGGAAUUACUGGGCGUAAAGCGCACGUAGGCGGAUACUUAAGUCAGGGGUGAAAUCCCGGGGCUCAACCCCGGAACUGCCUUUGAUACUGGGUAUCUGGAGUCCGGAAGAGGUGAGUGGAAUUCCGAGUGUAGAGGUGAAAUUCGUAGAUAUUCGGAGGAACACCAGUGGCGAAGGCGGCUCACUGGUCCGGUACUGACGCUGAGGUGCGAAAGCGUGGGGAGCAAAC
rnacentral:rRNA from 1 species